rnacentral:rRNA from 1 species
GACGAACGCUGGCGGCGUGCUUAACACAUGCCAGUCGAACGAUGAAGCAGAGAAACGCGCACUUCGGUUCAAAUUUCACUUCGGAUUAGUGGCAGACGGGUGAGUAACGCGUGAGCAACCUACCUCUUACAAAGGGAUAGCCUCGGGAAACCGUGAUUAAUACCAUAUGACACAUUCAUAAGGCAUCUUAAGAAUGUUAAAGCUACGGCGGUAAGAGAUGGGCUCGCGUCCCAUUAGCUAGUUGGUGAGGUAACGGCCCACCAAGGCGACGAUGGGUAACCGGCCUGAGAGGGUGAACGGUCACAUUGGAACUGAGACACGGUCCAAACUCCUACGGGAGGCAGCAGUGGGGAAUAUUGCACAAUGGAGGGAACUCUGAUGCAGCGACGCCGCGUGAGCGAUGAAGGAAUUCGUUUCGUAAAACUCUGUUCUAUGGGAAGAAAAGGACUGUACCAUAGGAGAAAGCCCCGGCUAAAUACGUG